UACGAAGGGGGCUAGCGUUGCUCGGAAUCACUGGGCGUAAAGGGUGCGUAGGCGGGUCUUUUAAGUCGGAGGGAUGAACUCGUGGAGCAUCAACUCCGAACUGUCCUUUGAUACUGAGGAUCUUGAGUUCGGGGAGAGGUGAGUGGAACUGCGAGUGUAGAGGUGAAAUUCGUAGAUAUUCGCAAGAACACCAGUGGCGAAGGCGGCUCACUGGCCCGAGUACUGACGCUGAGGCACGAAAGCGUGGGGAGCAAACAGG
rnacentral:rRNA from 1 species